UACAGAGGUGGCAAGCGUUGUUCGGAAUUACUGGGCGUAAAGGGCGCGUAGGCGGUCUUUUAAGUCUCGCGUGAAAUCCCUCGGCUUAACUGAGGAACUGCACGGGAUACUGGAUGACUUGAGUUCGGGAGAGGGAAGCGGAAUUCCGGGUGUAGCGGUGAAAUGCGUAGAUAUCCAGAGGAACACCGGUGGCGAAGGCGGCUUCCUGGACCGACACUGACGCUGAGGCGCGAAAGCUAGGGGAGCAAACGGG
rnacentral:rRNA from 1 species